GAUGAACGCUAGCGGCAGGCUUAAUACAUGCAAGUCGAACGGCAGCGGGUCCAGCAAUGGAUGCCGGCGAGUGGCGCACGGGUGCGUAACACGUAUGCAACCUACCUUUAACUGGGACAUAACAUUGAGAAAUCGAUGCUAAUAUCCCAUAACAUCCAGAAUUCGCAUGUUUUUUGGAUUAAAGUUCCGGCGGUUAAAGAUGGGCAUGCGCGACAUUAGCUAGUUGGUGAGGUAACGGCUCACCAAGGCUACGAUGUCUAGGGGGUCUGAGAGGAUGAUCCCCCACACUGGUACUGAGACACGGACCAGACUCCUACGGGUGGCAG
rnacentral:rRNA from 1 species